GUAAAUCAAACUAUUUUAAAAACUAAAAAGCAGAAAAGCUUACACUGAGCCAAGCAGUGUCACAACUUGAGUGGACCUGGAUGGGAGUCCUGCUGGUUCCAGGAAAAACAGGCCUGCGGAGAAGGAGGAGAAGGUGGGGGCAUCAGACACUGUGGAGCACCUAGGAGGAGCAGGAGGUGAUCUGCUCAGUUGCCCCUGAAGUGUCUGGGUUCCGGUUCUAGAACAGACGGCACUGAUCACAGGAGAAGGACACUUCAUCACAGGUUCAGAACCUGUGUUCCAUCAGUUUCAGUAACAAUGCAGCAAUAGGACAAGUUUUGAUCAAACACUUUUCUGCUCCCUGUGCUCUGCUGAACGUCACCAAGCACUUCUCCUAGUUUGGCUUCACCACCAACCUCCCCUGGAGACCACUGCCUUUCUUCCAAGUUCUGGGGUCACUGAGGAAGCCGCUGCCUGUGCACUGCCCCAGCUCAGCCCCUCCUGGUACGAAGGUCACGGCAUAUCCAUCACGACUGUAACCAGCAGAUCCCUGGACUCUGCCCACAGAAUUCCCCAAGCCGGCCCCUCCCUCCUCCUGACCGGGGGCAGCUCCUCCUCCCAGCCUCAUCUGCUCUCAGGUUUCUCAGCUGUCUGCCUCACACAGCCCCACCCCACAUUCAUCAUGCUCUUUGAAUUCAGAAUUUCACUGAAAUCCCCAAGGUCUUUCCUUACCAUACAGCCUUAGUCACUAACUUCACAGAUGUCAUGAACUUCCCAUUCCUCUUCUUCAUGAUCUCAGACAAAUGUUAGCAUCCAACUUUGCAUUCUUACAACACAGCUAUUAUUUCAUUACCAUGAUUAUUCUUCACACCACACUCUGAGGUUUGUUUCCGAAUCAAUAGAAGAUCAUAGGUUUGGCCCCUGGUGCCCACCUUGCCACGUCCACCUGGCUUUAUUUUCAUAGCAUUAUUCUUUUCUAUUUGGGUAAUGGGCUGGAAAACCUCAAAGUUGAGAGGUUGUGGCUUUUUCCCAAAUCAGAAAGCAAGCUGAGGGUGGUAAAGGAAAAGAACCCUUUUUCUUUUAAACUUGCUUCAUGGUUGAGAGGUUGUGUUGUCACGUGUGUGAGCUUGUGCAUGUAUGCAUUUGAAUCUCUGUCUGUUUCCUUCUGAUCUUGGCCAUAUGGCCACAGUGCCUUGGGAUCGAUCUGGGAAGGGAUAGUGGACUCUGGUUUGGCAAACCUAACGUCCAUUACCAAAUCACUUCUCUUUUUCCUGACUCCAAGAGGAGACUGAAAGAGCUAAAUGCUCACUCUCCCAGUCUUUUCCGCAAGGGGCAGCCAGGGGAUAAACAUUUCAUAAAUAUUCAUGACUCCUCUUAUACUUAUUGAAUAUGUAUAUUUGGCCACCUGCUUCAGCAUAAAUUCCUGUCUUAUUUUCUCCACCCUCGAAGUGCCUGUUUCCAGCUUCUGGCCAGAGGCUCUGCUUCCCAGCCUAUCAGAAUGGCCACCCUGCAGGAUACAACCCUUUAUGAGAAAUAAAGCUCUCCUUUCCAAAUGCA